rnacentral:rRNA from 1 species
GAAUCCUACGGGGCGCAGCAGUGGGGGAUAUUGCACAAUGGGGGAAACCCUGAUGCAGCGACGCCGCGUGAGCGAUGAAGUAUUUCGGUAUGUAAAGCUCUAUCAGCAGGGAAGAAAAUGACGGUACCUGACUAAGAAGCCCCGGCUAACUACGUGCCAGCAGCCGCGGUAAUACGUAGGGGGCAAGCGUUAUCCGGCUUUACUGGGUGUAAAGGGAGCGUAGACGGCAGUGCAAGUCUGAAGUGAAAGGCAAGGGCUCAACCCUUCGACUGCUUUGGAAACUGUGCUGAUGGAGUGUCGGGGAG